rnacentral:ncRNA from 1 species
GUAACAUUCCGCCCGAUAUUUUUUCUAUGAGGACAAACACUUUGGACAGUCACAGUCGAUACUGGUUUUACUAUUACAACUAAUCUUUUCGCCUCAUAGCCUCUCUUGCUUAUCGGCGAAAAGU